rnacentral:ncRNA from 1 species
CAAAAGUUUGACUCUAGCUCUCAUAUUUAUUCCCCCAAUGCUAAACACAUGCAAGACUUCCCCUCCCGUAAAAUCUUUAUAUAUUAAAAUUCCCCCUUUCUAUAAAAUUAAUAAUCAGCCUUUACGCCUGCAGUGAACAACCCUUGUCCUCAUAUGAAAGUAUGGCCAGGCUUCUGGAACUUCUAUUGGCUAAAUUAGUGCCAGCCGCCGCGGUUACACUAAAAAUAAUAUAAAUAUAAUCUGUUUUGUAGAUUUCAUAAUUGAUUAAAACUAUAAUAAUUAGAGGUUUAAUUCCUUUAUACAAAUUUUCCUUAAUAAUCUCCCGCCCUUUACUCUACGAAAGUCUAGUUAAAAACAGGGAUUAGAUACCCCUUUAUUCUUUACCAUAAACACCUAGGUACUAAAAACUCAUGUUUAAAACCUAAAGAGUUUGGCGGUGCUUCAACCCUACUAGGGGAGCCUGUAGCUUAAUUCGAUAAUCCACGUAUAAUCCUACCUAUUUUUGUUCUCAGCCUGUGUAUUGUCGUCGCCAGUUUACCUUUUAUGAGACUGUAAACUAACCCGCUAACACGCACACGUCAGAUCAACAUGCAGCUAAUACUUAGGCGCUAAUGGGCUACAAUCUUCAAAAAGACACAAAAAUUUGAAUGACUAUUAAUUAAGGUGGACUUAGAAGUAAACAUUCCUGCCUUGAAUAAGGAAUCUGAAGCGUGCACACAUCGCCCGUCGCUCUCGCCGAAAGGGGAGAUAAGUCGUAACAUAGUUGGAGUAACGGAAGUUGCCCCU